rnacentral:rRNA from 5 species
UCAUAUGCUUGUCUCAAAGAUUAAGCCAUGCAUGUCUAAGUACGUGCCUAAGAAAGGUGAAACCGCGAAUGGCUCAUUAAAUCAGUUAUGGUUCCUUAGAUCGUACCUUACUACUUGGAUAACUGUGGUAAUUCUAGAGCUAAUACAUGCAGCAGAGCUCCGACCUUCGGGGACGAGCGCUUUUAUUAGACCAAGACCAAUCGGACUUCGGUCCGAAGCUCAUGGUGACUCUGGAUAACUUUGGGCUGAUCGCACGGUCUCGUACCGGCGACGCAUCUUUCAAGUGUCUGCCUUAUCAACUUUCGAUGGUAGGUUAUGCGCCUACCAUGGUCGUAACGGGUAACGGGGAAUCAGGGUUCGAUUCCGGAGAGGGAGCCUGAGAAACGGCUACCACAUCCAAGGAAGGCAGCAGGCGCGCAAAUUACCCACUCCCGGCACGGGGAGGUAGUGACGAAAAAUAACAAUACGGGACUCUAUAGAGGCCCCGUAAUUGGAAUGAGUACACUCUAAAUCCUUUAACGAGGAUCUAUUGGAGGGCAAGUCUGGUGCCAGCAGCUGCGGUAAUUCCAGCUCCAAUAGCGUAUAUUAAAGUUGUUGCGGUUAAAAAGCUCGUAGUUGGAUCUCAGUUCCAGACGGGUGGUCCACCCCUGGUGGCUACUGCCUGGCCUGAACAAAUCCAGCCGGUUUUCCUUGAUGCUCUUCACCGAGUGUCUUGGGUGACCGGCACGUUUACUUUGAAAAAAUUAGAGUGCUCAAAGCAGGCGUGACGCCUGAAUAAUGGUGCAUGGAAUAAUGGAAUAGGACCUCGGUUCUAUUUUGUUGGUUUUCGGAACACGAGGUAAUGAUUAAGAGGGACAGACGGGGGCAUUCGUAUUGCGACGCUAGAGGUGAAAUUCUUGGACCGUCGCAAGACGAACUACU